rnacentral:rRNA from 1 species
UACGUAGGGUGCAAGCGUUGUCCGGAAUUAUUGGGCGUAAAGAGCUCGUAGGCGGUUUGUCGCGUCGAAUGUGAAAACCCGGGGCUCAACCCCGGGCCUGCAUUCGAUACGGGCAGACUAGAGUUCGGUAGGGGAGUCUGGAAUUCCUGGUGUAGCGGUGAAAUGCGCAGAUAUCAGGAGGAACACCGAUGGCGAAGGCAUCCCCUGGACCAAUACUGACGCUCAUGUGCGAAAGCGUGGGAGCAACAGG